AGGAUUGUCAUGCUGAUGGAAGUAGUAUGUGUUAGUUCUUUCAUGACAGUCUAUAUUGGUUGUGUUCACCAGUACAAUUCAUUGGAUUCCCAGCCUGAUGUUUUAAAAUCACUUUAUUCUCCACUUCAACCAUCAAGUUCUCUGGAAGGUUUGAGGUACCAGGAUGGUGGUCGCCUGUCAGAUCAGCAGAUGGCGUUGUUGCAAUAUCAGCAAGAAAAUAUACACUUUUUGGGUGAGGAGAUUCUUAGACUGCAAGAAACCUUGAGCAAA
rnacentral:misc_RNA from 1 species